ACCUCCAUGGUACAGUGGACUAGUACGCGUUCCAGGAUAUAAGUAAGGCUUGUUGAGAAGCAAUUUAGGAACGAGACGUGGGGGUUCGAUUCCCGACUGCAGGUC